AGCAAUUUGGUAGGCAGGCUUACGUGAUUUGCACGUAGCUUCUCUAUUUCUACAACCGGCCAUUGUAUCAAUUGUUUUCCAGUUUUGUCGAGCCAAAUUUGCCUAGGAAUUGCCUGCAAAAUCAGUCCAUAAUCACAAGUUUGUCAGGAGUUCGAUUUA